rnacentral:rRNA from 1 species
UAAUACGGAGGGGGCUAGCGUUGUUCGGAAUUACUGGGCGUAAAGCGCACGUAGGCGGCUUUGUAAGUUAGAGGUGAAAGCCCGGAGCUCAACUCCGGAAUUGCCUUUAAGACUGCAUCGCUCGAAUCAUGGAGAGGUGAGUGGAAUUCCGAGUGUAGAGGUGAAAUUCGUAGAUAUUCGGAAGAACACCAGUGGCGAAGGCGACUCACUGGACAUGUAUUGACGCUGAGGUGCGAAAGCGUGGGGAGCAAACAGGA